UGAUUAAAUUCAUAAAUAUUUAUAAAAAGAAUUGGGGGUGAAAACAAUAUUAAGCAAAAAGGGGAUGGGCUUUUAAUUAAAAAGAAACCAGUUUAGUGUUGCUGCUGGACUUUCUAAAGCAUAGAGGGUCAUUCUCUUAAGAGCGUACUUCUCUCUAGAACUCACACUCACCAUUCCUCUACCUUCUCUCUUAAAUUCCUACACACUGAACCGUUUGAUCUCUGGUUAGGUGGUGUUCAAACACUCACAGCGUAGUAGGCUUCCAUUUUCAUCGGUUGAUUUCUCGUUCUGCCUCCAGUGAUCCUAGUCUUCUUUGAGGUGUAAGCAAGCAUUUGGGGUUUUUAGUAAGUUUGGCGUUUCGUCUAGAGUAGGUGAUGAUGUACCUUUGGAGCAAGCGUUGGAGAUUGAGGAAGAUCCAACUCCUAGUACUUAGGACUUCUAUUAGCUUUUAGUUGAAUAGCUUGUUAGUUUGAAAAACUUCUAGCUUUUAUUUUACCAUGUUCGGUAUUUUUGGAAAAUGCUCUUUAGGUCUCUUUAAAGUUUAGUUAGCCUUACAUUUUGGAGAACUUUAGAAACUUGUACUCAAGUUAUAUUUCAUUUAAUUUCCUCUAUAUUUUGGAAGACUGUAUACAUAUUUAAAUCUUGUCAUCUCUAUCUCUCAAUUGCUUUUGUAUAUUAUAAUAGCUGAAUCCUAUUA